GGGGAUAUGGUCUAGUGGUAUCGACGUUCCGUUUGCAUGUCUUCUAUUGCUUCGGAAAGAUCCGGGGUUCGAUUCCCUGUAUCUCCA